CCAAAAACUAAAGAACCUUCAAAGUAUUCCUUUACUUCCUACUUCAAGGUAAUUCUCUAAUGCUCAUUGAUAUUUUGUAUGUUUUUGUUUCAUAAUACACUCCUGCAAGUUCUGUUCUUAAUGCCUUUAUCUGUUUCAUCUUUCUGCAGGAGAAACUGCUUCUAGAUCCCCAAAACUUCAAUUCUAGGUCUUGCCUAAGAGAAUUCAAGAAACUAAACUCGGGGAAGAACUUACAUAAGCGUGAUCUAGUACACAUCUUUUUUAUCAUUCCAUGAAACCAUCAUUUUUGCAUCUUUUUCAUCUAUACUCAUUUUUCUACUUUAAUUGCCAUCCAGCUUUACUUCUCCCGAGUUGAUUCC
rnacentral:lncRNA from 1 species